GAACCUGCGGAAGGAUCAUUAGUGAAUUCAGCGUAUCUUUUCAUCAAAGAGCGCGACCUCUCACUUUUCAAACUCUGUGCACUUUUUGGCAUUAGAAAAGUUCAGCAACGACGGUAGUCGCUGCUGAAACGGCUCUUUUGCGUCUCAUUUUAUCUAAACACUACAAGUCAGAGAAUGUUUAUGAAACUUUAUAACAAAAAAAAACUUUCAACAACGGAUCUCUUGGCUCUCGCAUCGAUGAAGAACGCAGCGAAAUGUGAUAAGUAAUGUGAAUUGCAGAAUUCAGUGAAUCAUCGAAUCUUUGAACGCAUCUUGCGCUCGCUGGUAUUCCGGCGAGCAUGUCUGUUUGAGUGUCGUGAACUCUUCAACCCCCAUAUUUUGUAAUGAAAUGUGGUGCGGCUUGGUUUCUGAGCGCCUGCUGGAUCCAUACGGAUCGAAGCUCGUUCGUAAUACAUUAGCAUCCUUCUCAUCGAGAUCAGAUUGACUCGGCGUAAUAGACUAUUCGCUGAGGACAUGUCAUUUUGACGUGGCUGACCUUUGAUAUUAUUUGCUGGAAGCUUAUAAAUCCGACAUACCUAGUCAAAAUUCUAAGAUUAGACCUCAGAUCAGAUAGGAUUACCCGCUGAACUUAAGC
rnacentral:rRNA from 1 species